GAUGAACGCUAGCUACAGGCUUAACACAUGCAAGUCGAGGGGAAACGAUAGAGAAAGCUUGCUUUUUCUAGGCGUCGACCGGCGCACGGGUGAGUAACGCGUAUCCAACCUGCCCACCACUUGGGGAUAACCUUGCGAAAGUAAGACUAAUACCCAAUGACGUCUCUAGAAGACAUCUGAAAGGGAUUAAAGAUUUAUCGGUGAUGGAUGGGGAUGCGUCUGAUUAGCUUGUUGGCGGGGUAACGGCCCACCAAGGCUACGAUCAGUAGGGGUUCUGAGAGGAAGGUCCCCCACAUUGGAACUGAGACACGGUCCAAACUCCUACGGGAGGCAGCAGUGAGGAAUAUUGGUCAAUGGGCGAGAGCCUGAACCAGCCAAGUAGCGUGCAGGACGACGGCCCUAUGGGUCGUAAACUGCUUUUAUAAGGGAAUAAAGUGGGUCACGUGUGACUUUUUGCAUGUACUUAUGAAUAAGGACCGGCUAAUUCCGUG
rnacentral:rRNA from 1 species